AGGGACAGUAGUCCAGAAAUCUUGGGGAGGGUUUGAUGGUUCAGGCAAUAAAAAGAGAAGUCAUCUACCUAGCUGUUAUCUCGCUCUGUCCUGCUAAGAAUCUGCCUGCCUGAGUGAUGCAGCCAGGCUCCCUUGUUCCCUGGGGCAAGGAACCAGUAGAGGGAUAGGGAAUCACAGUGUUUCCCGGCUGCAAGGGCCCUUGGAGAUGGUUUUACAGAUGAGGAAGCAGAGUCCAGAGAAAGGAAGUGAUCUGCUGGGAACCACUGUACUUUUCACACAAGCAACUUUCCGGGCAUCUGCUAUGUGCUGUCCACAGGAUGGCGAGGGGCCUCAUCUUGCAGCCUGAGGGAACAGCCUCAUAUUCAGGCUUCCUUUUGCCUUCUCUGCUUCACCUUGAUUGAAGCUACCCUUCUCUGCACCUUCUUUAAGUGUUGAGGCCAAGAUAACGAUGAGAGGACUUUAGUUCACAGGUAAAGUUUGAAGCAAGGAAAACUGAUCCUCUCCUUGUCCAGAGAUUGAAGCUACAUUCAUAUGACAAGGCUAGAACUAUGGUGGAG
rnacentral:lncRNA from 1 species